rnacentral:rRNA from 1 species
UAAAUGACUCUCGGCAACGGAUAUCUCGGCUCACGCAUCGAUGAAGAACGUAGCUAAAUGCGAUACYUGGUGUGAAUUGCAGAAUCCCGUGAACCAUCGAUUUUUUGAACGCAAGUUGCGCCCGAAGCCUUUUGGCCGAGGGCACGUCCGCCUGGGCGUCACAC